UCUGGWUGAUCCUGGCAGAGGKUACUGCUAUCGGUGUUCGCCUAAGCCAUGCGAGUUCAUAUGUCCUUCGUGAACAUGGCGUACUGCUCAGUAACACGUGGAUAACCUGCCCUUGGGUCCGGGCAUAACCCCGGGAAACUGGGGAUAAAUUCCCGGAUAACGCACAUAUGCUGGAAUGCUUUAUGCGUAAAAUGGAUUCGUCCGCCCAAGGAUGGGUCUGCGGCCUAUCAGGUAGUAGUGGGUGUAAUGUACCUACUAGCCUACAACGGGUACGGGUUGUGAGAGCAAGAGCCCGGAGAUGGAUUCUGAGACAUGAAUCCAGGCCCUACGGGGCGCAGCAGGCGCGAAAACCUUACAAUGCGGGAAACCGUGAUAAGGGGACACCGAGUGCCAGCAUCAUAUGCUGGCUGUCCAGAUGUGUAAAAUACAUCUGUUAGCAAGGGCCGGGCAAGACCGGUGCCAGCCGCCGCGGUAACACCGGCGGCCCGAGUGGUGAUCGUGAUUAUUGGGUCUAAAGGGUCCGUAGCCGGUUUGGUCAGUCCUCCGGGAAAUCUGAUAGCUCAACUAUUAGGCUUUCGGGGGAUACUGCCAGGCUUGGAACCGGGAGAGGUAAGAGGUACUACAGGGGUAGGAGUGAAAUCUUGUAAUCCCUGUGGGACCACCUGUGGCGAAGGCGUCUUACCAGAACGGGUUCGACGGUGAGGGACGAAAGCUGGGGGCACGAACCGGAUUAGAUACCCGGGUAGUCCCAGCCGUAAACGAUGCUCGCUAGGUGUCAGGCAUGGCGCGACCGUGUCUGGUGCCGCAGGGAAGCCGUGAAGCGAGCCACCUGGGAAGUACGGCCGCAAGGCUGAAACUUAAAGGAAUUGGCGGGGGAGCACAACAACGGGUGGAGCCUGCGGUUUAAUUGGACUCAACGCCGGACAACUCACCGGGGACGACAGCAAAAUGUAGGCCAGGCUGAAGACCUUGCCUGAAUCGCUGAGAGGAGGUGCAUGGCCGUCGCCAGUUCGUACUGUGAAGCAUCCUGUUAAGUCAGGCAACGAGCGAGACCCAA
rnacentral:rRNA from 1 species